rnacentral:rRNA from 1 species
GUCUAUGGCCAUACCACUCUGAACGCUCCCAAUCUUGUCUGACCUUGGAAGCUAAGCAGGGUCGGGCCUGGUUAGUACUUGGAUGGGAGAAUAUUAGAGGAUAAAUACCACAGAUG